AUAUACAUGUUGAAGAAGAAUAGUAAUUUAUAAGUCAAUUGAAGAGAGAUGAUGUUUGGUGAAAAUCAUUAUUGGUUUAAAAUGAAGGGAACUUCUGAGUGUAGAAUUGUUAAAGAAGAAAGAUGGGCUUAAGCCAAGAAGGGUGGAACCGCGGAAGUAUAUUUCGUCCCUUUG
rnacentral:ncRNA from 1 species